UACAGAGGUCUCAAGCGUUGUUCGGAUUCAUUGGGCGUAAAGGGUGCGUAGGUGGCGCGGUAAGUCGGGUGUGAAAUUUCGGAGCUUAACUCCGAAACUGCAUUCGAUACUGCCGUGCUUGAGGACUGGAGAGGAGACUGGAAUUUACGGUGUAGCAGUGAAAUGCGUAGAGAUCGUAAGGAAGACCAGUGGCGAAGGCGGGUCUCUGGGCAAUUUCUGACGCUGAGGCAACGAAGGCCUAAGGGAGCAAACGGG
rnacentral:rRNA from 1 species